AAAUAUGGUUUAUGUGCUUUGAAUUUUCAGUCUAGACCUCUGCUAAAUUGUGGGGGAGGAGGAACUUGUGGGACAUGCAUUGUAGAGGUCGUUGAAGGGAAGGAGCUACUAAACCCUCGAACAGACAAAGAGAAGGAAAAACUUAAAAGGAAUCCAAAAAAUUGGAGGCUUGCUUGUCAGACUACGGUUGGAAAACCAGAUUCGAGAGGCUUGGUUGUAAUCCAACAACUGCCUGAAUGGAAAGGGCAUGAAUGGAAUUAUAAUAAAGAACCUCCUU